ensembl:lncRNA novel transcript
AGAGACAGUUUGACUUCCUGUCUAUUCCUCUCUUCCCUCCUCUGUUUGGAUGCCCUUCCAGUUUUGCACAUUCAGUGUAAUGUUGGCUGUGGGUUUGUCAUGGCUAGCUCUCAUCAUUUUGGCACUUCUGACUAGAAGGGCAAGAGGGGCCAGUGUUGUUGUUACCUGAAAGGUAAGUGCAGCCCACAAAAAUGCAGUGAAGAAGAAGAUGUAUUAUGCAUAUGUUUAAGUUAAUACAAUUGAGAUAUAUUUAGCAGACAGAAUCAAUAGAGUUGAUGAGUGACUGACUGGAUGUGUGGGGAGUUUAUAUCACUCCCAGGUUUUUGACUUGGGCAACCGGGCACUCAUGAAGGAAAAAGGGGAUCCAGGGAGAGGAACUUUUCUGAGGACUGGGGUAGGGCUGAACAGCUGCAUUCGAGGCUGGUGGAGGGUGGGCUGGGCAUGGGAUGCACAAAUGGAAAUUCCACUGGGUCUGCAGCUCACACAUAGGCAUGACCAGCAUAGAGAUAGAGAGGCCCCAGUGCUGCUGAGUAACUGUGAUUCCCCAGGUGAUGGCAUCAGCUGAGAAGGGAAGGAAGCCCAUGAGAGGACACUGAAGAAGGAGUGAGCAGACAAUAAGAAGCCCACAGAAGACAGAGAAGGAACAACUAGAGGGAGAAGCCAAGGCAGGCGUGUGUGGUAACACAUAGGAACUGAGGGAGAGGACAUUUCAAGAUGGUGGGGAUGCCAUACAACAGGACUAUGUGAUGGUUUUUGGCUGUGUCCAUAGGAAGUCACAACAGGCAAGGGAAAGAAACCAGAACCCAGUCAUGGAGUUAAGAAGUGAGUCAGAGAGUAGAUGGGUAGGGACAGUGAGGUAAGGCCUCUUUCUAAGGAAGUUUGGCUGAAGGAUAGACUAGCUGGACACAUGCUGGCUGUGUGGGGUAGAGGGAGGAAUGAUGGAGGGUAGGAGAGCCUUGAGCCUGCGAGAAGAGUCUCUUAGAAUAGAGAAGCUGAAGUUAAAGUUGUGGAAGAGAGUGGGGAUAACUGAGUGACAGAUAAUCAGGAGAAGAAAAGGAGAUCCAGACUCAUGACAGAGAGAUGACCUUUGCCAAGAGCACAGCCGUCUUUCACGGUCACAGAGAGGUAGGACAAAAUGAGUGGUGUUCAAGAAUUGGUUUGUAGCACAAUAUUUCAACUAUGUCCUUUAAAAAGUUUCUCCACAGACACUACCCAAAGCAGUGCUUCACUACAGUGGCAGACAGACCUGAAAAUUUUCAUCUGAAGCAGCAGAGUGAACUGCAGAGGCAGGUCACCAACCAGUGUGGAGGCUAAAAGCGGGCCUCUUUGGGGAUUCCAGGUGGAAGUGUUGGACAUCUGUAGUAUUCCUGGUCUCGAAUCAUCCUGAUAUUCUUCAUUUUGUUAUUCACAUUGGACUAGGGUGAGGAAAUGAGUUCUGGUCAGAGUCAAUGUUUCCUAACAAUGUUGAUUUAUUUGGUCCUAAAUAUUUAAACACAUUUUAUAAAUAGCUUUUCCACACCACAUAUAUAGGGAAAAACAGGGAGUUAACUUGGCCCAGCAGCACUGUUUGUGGGGCUAACACCCUGUCUGUGUAUCUCACACCAACCCUAAGCUUUGUUUCUCUCCUGUCACUUUGCUCCUAUUUCUUUCAUGUGAAAGAAUGUUCAUUUUCUUUGAAAAUGAGCUCAUUUCCUCAUUUUCUUUCCAUAUUUCAGCAGGAACAAAGAUCACCACAACUGGCUCCCCUUCAACUAUGUUAGAUGGCAACUUGCCUUCAGUAUGGUGAAACACAUCAGUUAAGACCGGGGUUGUGCAUGGCAGGACUUUCUACAAGGACACCCAGUCUCCUUAAUAAACAUGAGAUGCUCUCUUUCCAGAAUUUCUCUUGCCUGACACAGCAUAGGAAGAUGCUGAACGGCCACACAGUGAUCCAUUGAGAUAGAAUCUCACUAUGUUGACCAGGCUGGUCUUGAACUCUUGGCACCCAAGCGAUCCUUUUGCCUGGAAUCCCAAAGUGUCAGAUUUACUGAAGAAUAUUUCAUUGUAAUUACUUUUUAUACUUUAUAGGUCAAGAGCUCUGUUUUAAAUACAAAAUUUAUUGAAUAUACUUUUUCAAACAAAGUUUCAUGUUCUAAUCAUUGUCUGAUUUCAGCAUUA